UUUAAAGGGUUUCUCAUGCAAAUAUCGGGCAAGUAAUGUGGCUUGUUGUGUGGGUAAUUGACACAGAACUUCUGUGCUCGUGUAUUUUGAGUGAAUCGAGGUCUUGCACAAGGUGUCUUAUCCAGCUGCUAUCAAGCUGGUGUUUCCUGCUGGUACUGUGCAUGGAUACUGGGAUGGAAAAAACCCAAGGAGCUGAUGUCAGAUGGAGACUAAAAGUUGCCUCAAGUGGGAAUUCAUUUGUUCUUGGAGGUAGAAAGUUUACAAUCAGACAUCUGGACACACCUGCAGAGGAUGGAUCAGACAAUGUUGUGUGUUUUGGGAGAAGUGAGUUCAGUGUAGAGAAAUGCGCGUUACCAAUUUUACCUGAAGAGAAACGGAGACUGAAGCUCAAGAAAAUAUGAAGUUGUGAGCAGAAGCAACGCCGUGAUGUGUGUCUGUCAGAAGAAAGGGGGAGUCCUCGAUAAUGCAGGUCACAGGUUUCUCUGGACGUUGUUGCAGGAGUUUUGUGUUGUACAUACAGAUGAAGAAAUUAGUCACUCCACCGCACACACACACACACACAUACACACACACAUUGACCUGUGAUGCCCCCUUUGCAAUAAACCAAAUUAGUCUAGAAGCCAAGAAACUAAUGUUUGAUCUGUCUGAAAACCACACAGAGUUGAACACAGCAUGCAUACACAUACACACACACAUAUAUGCACACACAUGCUCACAAUCUAUAUCUCUUAGUAUGUUCAGUAUUGGUAUGAUUGAUCCACAUUACUGUUCAGGAAACAGGAAAAAGAAAGAUGUUUGGACCUGAUUGUGAUGUGAAAAGAGAGAGUAGAUGUAGUAAGAGCAUAACUCUUCUCCUCUGGAAUAAUACACAUAAUUUAACCCUAAAUCUGAACAAGACUCUUGGUUAAGUCAGCUGAUUGAGCGUACAUGUGGAAAAAAAACUUUAUGCUAAACUAGAUUAAAUCUGCCCUCCCUUCCACCAGAUUCCUGUUAAUAAAUUAGCUCCGAACUGUGGGAUGUUUCAGGUGCUUGCUGUACCUCCUGGGAUCCUCUGUGUGUAUUCUGUCCUUUGUCUCUGGGCUGAAAUAAUCCAAUCCACUGAUUCAAGUGUUUAGACAACUGUUUGUCCUGUUAGCAGAGAAUGCUAAUUUCAUUUCUUGUCGAGAGAGAUUCAGACUCCCUGAAGGAUUUACCCCGAGAAACAACUAACUCUAAUCCCUUCCAAUUAUUAUCUGUUGUUUUGAUGACAAGAAGAUUUAGAGCAAGUGUUUUGAGUGGACUCUUCAUCAUGACAAAACACUAAUCUGUUUUCAUUAAUUUCCUGAACAAAUGAAGCUCUUACACAAAACGUCAGCUGAGUGAACAGCCAUGUUGGUGCAGCGCUGGUUGGCUGUGUUUCUGUUAGAGACGUAGUGUGACUUUAAAGAGCCCACACAGUUUAUUGAGAUGUGUCUGGUUGUACAAUACUUUGUGCACCUGUCAUUUUAAAGUGAGGGAGCUGUAGUGAGCGAUAAAGUUCUGUACACACAUUUGAAUUUGUAAAACCAGAAAUAAAUAACAGGUGUGAUCUUUUAUUGUCUGUAGUUGUGGUCAAUGAACAGAUUAUAAGGUAAUAGGCCCCUUGGGACCGGCAGGUAAAAGGCCCCCCACUC